rnacentral:rRNA from 1 species
GAUGAACGCUGGCGGCGUGCUUAACACAUGCAAGUCGAACGGUGAAGCCAAGCUUGCUUGGUGGAUCAGUGGCGAACGGGUGAGUAACACGUGAGCAACCUGCCCUGGACUCUGGGAUAAGCGCUGGAAACGGCGUCUAAUACUGGAUAUGAGCCUCUUCCGCAUGGUGGGGGUUGGAAAGAUUUUUUGGUCUGGGAUGGGCUCGCGGCCUAUCAGCUUGUUGGUGAGGUAAUGGCUCACCAAGGCGUCGACGGGUAGCCGGCCUGAGAGGGUGACCGGCCACACUGGGACUGAGACACGGCCCAGACUCCUACGGGAGGCAGCAGUGGGGAAUAUUGCACAAUGGGCGAAAGCCUGAUGCAGCAACGCCGCGUGAGGGAUGACGGCCUUCGGGUUGUAAACCUCUUUUAGCAGGGAAGAAGCGAAAGUGACGGUACCUGCAGAACAAGCGCCGGCUAACUACGUG